UNGGUCCGCUUGGUGCAGAGCUGAGUUC
rnacentral:piRNA from 1 species